CAGCAGCCACGGGAAUACAGAGGGUGCGAGCGUUAAUCGGAUUUACUGGGCGUAAAGCGUGCGUAGGCGGCUUCUUAAGUCGGAUGUGAAAUCCCUGAGCUUAACUUAGGAAUUGCAUUCGAUACUGGGAAGCUAGAGUAUGGGAGAGGAUGGUAGAAUUCCAGGUGUAGCGGUGAAAUGCGUAGAGAUCUGGAGGAAUACCGAUGGCGAAGGCAGCCAUCUGGCCUAAUACUGACGCUGAGGUACGAAAGCAUGGGGAGCAAACAGGAUUAGAUACCCGUGUAGUCCCUGUCUCUUAUAA
rnacentral:rRNA from 1 species